GAUUAACGCUGGCGGCGUGCCUAACACAUGCAAGUCGAACGAGGUAGCAAUACCUAGUGGCAGACGGGUGAGUAACACGUGGUCAACCUACCGCUCGGUGGGGGAUAACUACCCGAAAGGGUAGCUAAUACCGCAUACGUCUUGGCCGGCAUCGGCCGACGAUGAAAGAAGCAAUUCGCCGAGUGACGGGACCGCGUCCCAUUAGCUAGUUGGUGAGGUAACGGCCCACCAAGGCACCGAUGGGUAGCUGGUUUGAGAGAGCGACCAGCCACACUGG
rnacentral:rRNA from 1 species